rnacentral:lncRNA from 1 species
CACUGGUGAGGAGGUGCCAGUUCAGCGCAGCACUUCCUGCAGGCCUGGCAGGAUCUGGCGCUCAGCAGGCUGUGGCAUGCCCACUGACCCAGAGGCAGGCUAGCAGGAGGUGUCCUGACAGAGGACUGGGGCAGUGGGGCCCUGGAUUUCAGAAAGUGGACAGCCCAGGGCUGGCUACUCAUUGACACCAUGUGACACAGACCAGCCAUUUGAAUACUUGGAGACUCAGCUUCUCACCUCCGCAAAACGAUACGAAUGUCACCUACCCAUGAGGGUCAGAGAAAC